CCUACGGGAGGCAGCAGUGGGGAAUAUUGGACAAUGGGCGAAAGCUGAUCCAGCAAUGCCGCGUGAGUGAUGAAGGCCUUAGGGUUGUAAAGCUCUUUUACCAGGGAUGAUAAUGACAGUACCUGGAGAAUAAGCUCCGGCUAACUCCGUGCCAGCAGCCGCGGUAAUACGGAGGGAGCUAGCGUUGUUCGGAAUUACUGGGCGUAAAGCGUGCGUAGGCGGCUAUUCAAGUCAGAGGUGAAAGCCUGGAGCUCAACUCCAGAACUGCCUUUGAAACUAGAUAGCUAGAAUCUUGGAGAGGUGAGUGGAAUUCCGAGUGUAGAGGUGAAAUUCGUAGAUAUUCGGAAGAACACCAGUGGCGAAGGCGACUCACUGGACAAGUAUUGACGCUGAGGUACGAAAGCGUGGGGAGCAAACAGGAUUAGAUACCCUGGUAGUCCACGCCGUAAACGAUGAUAACUAGCUGUCCGGGCUCUCAGAGCUUGGGUGGCGCAGUAACGCAUUAAGUUAUCCGCCUGGGGAGUACGGUCGCAAGAUUAAAACUCAAAUGAAUUGACGG
rnacentral:rRNA from 1 species